GCAGGAGUCAGUCCCAGUCAGGACACAGCAUGGACAUGAGGGUCCCCACUCAGCUCCUGGGGCUCCUGCUGCUCUGGCUCCCAGGUGCCAGAUGUGACAUCCAGAUGACCCAGUCUCCAUCCUCCCUCUCUGCAUCUGUAGGAGACAGAGUUACCAUCGCUUGCCGGGCAAGUCAGGGCAUUAGCAAUUAUUUAGCCUGGUAUCAGCAGAAACCGGGGAAAACUCCUAAGCUCCUGAUCUAUGCUGCAUCCAGUUUGCAAAGUGGGAUUCCCUCUCGGUUCAGUGGCAGUGGAUCUGGGACAGAUUUCACUCUCACCAUCAGCAGCCUGCAGCCUGAAGAUAUUGCAACAUAUUACUGUCAACACUAUGAUAAUUUCCCUCUCACAGUGUUACAAGUCAUAACAUAA